AUUUCUCUCCAGUGCCAAACUGCGAAUGUAUUCAAUUUCUAAAAUCAGUUUCACUGCUUGACAUGGUGAUCUCCUGACCUCAAGGGUAAUUGCUGCAUCCAAAUAGCGGGAAACAACUCUUCCAAAACAUUCCACAGUUUCCUGGCCACUUCAGCCUUUCUGCAAUCUACAAGGCAUAAACCAGGAGUGUGAUGGAAUAUUCCCCACAUGCCUGGAUGGGUUUAGCUCCAACAACACUCCGAAGCUUGACACCAUCCAGGUCAAUGCAGCCGCUUGAUUGGCAUCACAUUCACAAACAUCUAAACCCUACACCAUCAAUGCCCAGUAGUAGCAGUGUGCACUAUCUACAACAUGUAUUGCAACAAUUCACAAGACUUCUUAGAUAGCACCUUCUAAACCAGCAACUGUGAUUAUUUGGAAGGACAAGCGCAGCACAUAGGAACACCAGCACCUGCAAGUUCCCCAUCAAGCCAAACACCAUCCUGACUUGGAAAUCCAUCAUUGUUCCUUCAGUUUCGCUAUGUCAAAAUCCUCUCCUACAGCACAUGGACCGUAGCAGUUCAAGAAGGCAGCUCACCACACCUUUGAAGUGCAGCUAGGGACAGGCAAUAAAUGCUGGACGUCAAUGUUAUAAGAAGGCAUGUUAUAUUCAUUGCAAGAAGUUGUUACCUGUGACUCAGACAGCAGUGCAUAUCCCUCUUUACAGGAUUGAGAGUUCAAAACUUGAACACAGUCCAGACAGAGACCCUGGAGUCAGCACAGAGGGAAGUGCUGCACUGUUGGCAGUUGUCUUUUGAAUGAUCCCUUCAGCUAUGAUCUCAUCUACCUUUGCAGUGGAAUGAAAGAGAGGGGUAAUCUACGGAUGCAUCCUCUACCAGCCAGCAACAGCGAUUCUCUCCGAAUGGGUCGCACGCACCUUCUUAAAGCAACAACGGGGAGGAAACCGGAGCACCCGGAGGAAACCCACGCAGACACGGGGA